GUAUGGCCUCACAAGUCUUGGUCUACCCACCAUAUGUUUAUCAAACUCAGUCAAGUGCCUUUUGUAGUGUGAAGAAACUCAAAGUAGAGCCAAGCAGUUGUGUAUUCCAGGAAAGAAACUAUCCACGGACCUAUGUGAAUGGUAGAAACUUUGGAAAUUCUCAUCCUCCCACUAAGGGUAGUGCUUUUCAGACAAAGAUACCAUUUAAUAGACCUCGAGGACACAACUUUUCAUUGCAGACAAGUGCUGUUGUUUUGAAAAACACUGCAGGUGCUACAAAGGUCAUAGCAGCUCAGGCACAGCAAGCUCACGUGCAGGCACCUCAGAUUGGGGCGUGGCGAAACAGAUUGCAUUUCCUAGAAGGCCCCCAGCGAUGUGGAUUGAAGCGCAAGAGUGAGGAGUUGGAUAAUCAUAGCAGCGCAAUGCAGAUUGUCGAUGAAUUGUCCAUACUUCCUGCAAUGUUGCAAACCAACAUGGGAAAUCCAGUGACAGUUGUGACAGCUACCACAGGAUCAAAACAGAAUUGUACCACUGGAGAAGGUGACUAUCAGUUAGUACAGCAUGAAGUCUUAUGCUCCAUGAAAAAUACUUACGAAGUCCUUGAUUUUCUUGGUCGAGGCACGUUUGGCCAGGUAGUUAAAUGCUGGAAAAGAGGGACAAAUGAAAUUGUAGCAAUCAAAAUUUUGAAGAAUCAUCCUUCUUAUGCCCGUCAAGGUCAAAUAGAAGUGAGCAUAUUAGCAAGGCUCAGUACUGAAAAUGCUGAUGAAUAUAACUUUGUACGAGCUUAUGAAUGCUUUCAGCACCGUAACCAUACUUGUUUAGUCUUUGAGAUGCUGGAACAAAACUUGUAUGACUUUCUGAAACAAAAUAAAUUUAGUCCCCUGCCACUAAAAGUGAUUCGGCCCAUUCUUCAACAAGUGGCCACUGCACUGAAAAAAUUGAAAAGUCUUGGUUUAAUUCAUGCUGAUCUCAAGCCAGAGAAUAUUAUGUUGGUGGAUCCUGUUCGGCAGCCUUACAGGGUUAAAGUAAUAGACUUUGGGUCGGCCAGUCAUGUAUCAAAGACUGUUUGUUCAACAUAUCUACAAUCUCGGUACUACAG
rnacentral:sRNA from 1 species